UACGGAGGGUGCAAGCGUUGCUCGGAAUCAUUGGGCGUAAAGCGUACGCAGGCUGUUCGUUAAGUCGGGUGUGAAAGCCCGGGGCUCAACCCCGGAACUGCGCCCGAAACUGGCGAGCUUGAGUGCGGGAAGGAAGGAAGGCAGGAACUUCUGGUGUAGAGGUGAAAUUCGUAGAUAUCAGGAGGAACACCGGUGGCGAAAGCGGCUUCUGGCCCGACACUGACGCUCAUGUACGAAAGCGUGG
rnacentral:rRNA from 1 species